AUUGAACGCUAGCGGGAUGCCUUACACAUGCAAGUCGAACGGAGUGGCGAACGGGUGAGUAAUGUAUCGGAACGUGCCCAGUAGCGGGGGAUAACUACGCGAAAGCGUAGCUAAUAACGCAGACUUUUGGAGCGGCCGAUAUCGGAUGAGAGAGUUGGUGGGGUAACGGCGCACCAGGGCGACGAUCCUUAGCUGGUUGGUGAGGACGACCAGCCAAACUGGGACUGGGACACGGCCCCGACUCCUACGGGCGGCAGCAGUGGGGAAUUUUGGACAAUGGGGGAAACCCGGAUCCAGCCAUCCCGCGUGUGCGAUGAAGGCCUUCGGGUUGUAAAGCACUUUUGGCAGGAAAGCGGUACCUGCAGAAUAAGCACCGGCUAACUACGUGCCAGCAGCCGCGGUAAUAC
rnacentral:rRNA from 1 species